UACGUAGGGUGCGAGCGUUGUCCGGAAUUAUUGGGCGUAAAGAGCUCGUAGGCGGUCUGUCGCGUCGAAUGUGAAAACCCGGGGCUCAACUCCGGGCUUGCAUUCGAUACGGGCAGGCUAGAGUUCGGUAGGGGGAGUCUGGAAUUCCUGGUGUAGCGGUGAAAUGCGCAGAUAUCAGGAGGAACACCGGUGGCGAAGGCGGGACUCUGGGCCGAUACUGACACUGAGGAGCGAAAGCGUGGGGAGCGAACAGG
rnacentral:rRNA from 1 species